CUCUUCACUACAGGCUCCGUGGAAGGAACUCGCAUCAGGCCAGCUGAGAAAGCCAGUUUGACAUUCACCUGUGGCAGACCUGGGUUUUGACUGAACCGCUUGCUCCUUGAGGCCCGAGGCCCUGAGGACUCAUCUCUAUAGCCCCUGCAUCUGGCCAGGACUUGGUUGCAGUAGGUGCUUGAUAAACCUAUGCUAAGUAUAAAAUGCCACCUAACUUGUUUCGCUCAUCUUAUCUUUAUUACACUUUCCUCUUUUUCCAGAAAUGACUUCUGGCAACUGACAGGCUCCACGUUGAGUGUUCACACUGUGCCCAAUUCUGCCCUGAGCACUUUGCUUGGUUUCUCCACAACAAUAUUGUGAUCAGUAUAAUUACUGUUAUUCCCAUUUUAUAGAUGAGAAAAAUAGUAAUGGAGGAAAUGGAAGGAAAAAGGAUGGCCAUAAGUUGGAGGCAGGUAUGUUAACAGUGUCCCUACUUGCAGCAGGCGGGCAAGACAUAUAGCUCAAGGUUUUCCAGAAACCUGACCAAUGAUAGGAAAUGGGUCGGCGAUAAUAUUCAUAGAGUCCAGAAGAUAAAAGCAAACUGAUUGCUCAGAAGACACACAAAUGGCCCCUAUCUAACGCAUGUGGCCUUGGACAAGUCACUUCUCUCUCAUUCUCUAUCUUCUGUACAAAGGGAGUGAUUACAAUAAUGUCCCCAUCACAGGGCACUUAUGCAGGUCAAGGAAGUAGACAAAUGCAGCAGUCACUGUGCCUAGAACCCAGAAGAUGCUGUAUCAAUGUUCAUUCUCCUGUCUUUCUUGCGGUCUUUUGUUCUCCCUCCAUUUACUGAAGGCAGAGUCUUGGAGUGUGGGUGUUUAACUAUAAAGUCAUUGGCAACCAAGCAGCUGCCCAACCAGCUCAUUAUGACCUAAAAAGAAAAAAGGAGCUUUGCAAGGAAGCUUUGCAAGCACGCCAGCUCCUGAAUUUCAUGAGCAGUGGGCAGCUGAAUGGUGAGUUCUCGCCUGAGCUUGGCUUGAAAUGCACGUAAGAAUGAAAGGGGCCUCCAGCACAGUCCACCUCUUGCCACUCUGUUAUAGUGCUGUGCCCUGGGAUAUUCAGGAAAGUUACGCUGUUCCAUCAUCUCCUGCAGCCGAGAAACACAAUUGAUUUUCCUGGCCUCAUUUCUGUUAUAAAGAACAAUUUCCCCCAGGGAUCCCCAGAGAACUAAAAUGGAGAAAAUGUCAUUCAUAUUUUACCAUGCAAGCCAAAGCCUAAUUGUUCACUGGACAAUAGAUACAAGCUGAAUGCCUAGCCCUUCGCUGGCCCUGGGCCAGGCACAUGGGAGUCAGGGAUGACGUAUACGUGGUGUCGGCUCUCAGGAAAGACUCAUAGAAGGCAAGGUGAAAGACCCAAAUUCAUGGAAGAGAAGUGAGUCACACAGGGAGCCAGUGGCAGAGCCACACCCCACAGAGCAAUCAACAUGCUCUACUCUGCAGACCUGCAACAGGGAGGGAAGCCAGACUCUGAUGCAAGAAGGAAAGACCAUGUGCUGGCUCAGUGUGUGCAGCCUGGACUGAGCUACUGAACUCUAAAUCCAAGGAUGACUAAUGUAAGCCUAAAGGGUAAUCUGCAAAUACUGCUCCAUUAAUAUUCAAUGAUAAAUGAUAUUGCUUUAGAAUCAAAUUCACAUAAACAGAAGCUUCAGCUGUAUGUCCGCACCCUGGGAACAUUAAAUUGUAAGCCACGUCUUGUA